AUAGACAACACUGGUAGCAUGAUAAUGAGGAAAGAAAAAAAAGGUUUUGUAACCCAAGGAUACAGUUCUGACGCUAUCUGGGAGAUGAAAGAAGAGGCUCAAGGCCAACCCACACCUUAAGGCAAACAAGGGGCUGCCACUGGUAGGAGCAACUGCCAACACUCCCUCUCCUGCUCUCUCCCACUCGUUAACAGCUGCUGAUCCUAGCUAGAUUAGAUGGAACGUACUUUAGGAAGUAAAGCACUUUCUGACUCUGUUCGUGGUACUUCACAAACAUGAUCUUUUAAAUCUUCCAUCAUCAUCAUCAUCAUCAUCAUCAUCAUCAACAACAACAACAACAACAACCUUAUAAGGCUGGUCAGUAUUAUUAGUACUGUAUUGCAGACGGAGGACUCCCAGAACAUUCCCAGCAGAAGCAAGAUUCAAACUGGGGACUUCCUAAUUUGUUGCUGAGUUCUCAGAUUUCAUUUACACUCUAGUCAUCAGGACUGCUUAGUUGUCAUGGCUGAUAGGCUCGCUUUUUAAAACAGAUUAAAGGAGUUUCUUACUUGUUACCCCUUAAGGCUAAAACAAUACCUUGAAAGUCAAAUAAAAAAAGAAAUCAUGUUGGCGUCGCUGCUACCUGAGUCAUACAUUUGUAAGGUUGGCAGUUGGCAAUACUUCUUAUGCAUUCAGAGGAGAAAGUUAAUCUCUCUGUUGUUUUUUUCCCAAGGAAGCAGGGUGGGGGGAGGGGAGAUUAAAGUGAACCAAAGUUGAUCCUCCAAACUCAAAGUGGGUGGCAGAUGUAUUUUUCUAAAACAAGUUAUUGGCACUUGCAUUUCAAGGAAAGGAAAUACCAUAAUUCAAGGCUGGAGCACCUUACAAUAUUUUUCAGAGAAUAGCAGAUAGUAUCUGUUCUCAUGAUUUAUUUAUACAUAUGCAGAUUCUUGGUAACCAAAUUCCUAUUAUUAACAGCAGGGCUUUUUUUCAGCAGGAACACGGUGGA